GAUGAACGCUGGCGGCGUGCCUAAUACAUGCAAGUCGAGCGAACAGACGAUGAGCUUGCUCCUCUGACGUUGGCGGCUGACGGGUGAGUAACAAGUGGAUAACCUACCUAUAAGACUGGGAUAACUUCGGGAAACCGGAGCUAAUACCGGAUAAUAUAUUGAACCGCAUGGUUCAAUAGUUAUAGACGGUUUUGCUGUCACUUAUAGAUGGAUCCGCGCCGGAUUAGCUAGUUGGUAAGGUAACGGCCUACCAAGGCAACGAUGCGUAGCCGACCUGAGAGGAUGAUCGGCCACACUGGAACUGAGACACGGUCCAGACUCCUACGGGAGGCAGCAGUAGGGAAUCUUCGGCAAUGGGCGAAAGCCUGACGGAGCAACACCGCGUGAGUGAAGAAGGUCUUCGGAUCGUAAAACUCUGUUAUUGGGGAAGAACAAAUGUAGAAGUAACUAUGCACGUCUUGACGGUACCUAAUCAGAAAGCAACGGCUAACUACGUG
rnacentral:rRNA from 1 species